AUCCAGCUGACGAAUCCCAAGUAGGAAGAAACGCGCGUCAAAUUGGAU
rfam:Schistosoma curassoni strain Dakar, Senegal genome assembly, scaffold: SCTD_contig0013186